AGAGUUUGAUCCUGGCUCAGGACGAACGCUGGCGGCGUGCUUAACACAUGCAAGUCGAACGAGAAUCUAUGGAACGAGGAUUCGUCCAAGUGAAAUAGAGGACAGUGGCGGACGGGUGAGUAACGCGUGAGGAACCUGCCUUUCAGAGGGGGACAACAGUUGGAAACGACUGCUAAUACCGCAUAACGCAUAGAAGUCGCAUGGCUUUUAUGCCAAAGAUUUAUCGCUGAAAGAUGGCCUCGCGUCUGAUUAGCUAGUUGGUGAGGUAACGGCCCACCAAGGCGACGAUCAGUAGCCGGACUGAGAGGUUGAACGGCCACAUUGGGACUGAGAUACGGCCCAGACUCCUACGGGAGGCAGCAGUGGGGAAUAUUGGGCAAUGGGCGCAAGCCUGACCCAGCAACGCCGCGUGAAGGAAGAAGGCUUUCGGGUUGUAAACUUCUUUUGUCAGGGACGAGCAGAAGACGGUACCUGACGAAUAAGCCACGGCUAACUACGUGCCAGCAGCCGUGGUAAUACGUAGGUGGCAAGCGUUGUCCGGAUUUACUGGGUGUAAAGGGCGUGUAGCCGGGUCGGCAAGUCAGAUGUGGAAUCCACGGGCUUAACUCGUGAACUGCAUUUGAAACUGUUGAUCUUGAGUAUCGGAGAGGCAAUCGGAAUUCCUAGUGUAGCGGUGAAAUGCGUAGAUAUUAGGAGGAACACCAGUGGCGAAGGCGGAUUGCUGGACGACAACUGACGGUGAGGCGCGAAAGCGUGGGGAGCAAACAGGAUUAGAUACCCUGGUAGUCCACGCUGUAAACGAUGAAUACUAGGUGUGCGGGGACUGACCCCCUGCGUGCCGCAGCUAACGCAAUAAGUAUUCCACCUGGGGAGUACGAUCGCAAGGUUGAAGCUCAAAGGAAUUGACGGGGGCCCGCACAAGCGGAGGAACAUGUGGUUUAAUUCGAUGAUACGCGAGGAACCUUACCCGGGCUUGAAUUGCAGAGGAAGGAUUUGGAGACAAUGACGCCCUUCGGGGCCUCUGUGAAGGUGCUGCAUGGUUGUCGUCAGCUCGUGCCGUGAGGUGUCGGCUUAAGUGCCAUAACGAGCGCAACCCCUCUCCUUAGUUGCCAUCAGGUUAAGCUGGGCACUCUGGGGACACUGCCACCGUAAGGUGUGAGGAAGGUGGGGAUGACGUCAAAUCAGCACGGCCCUUACGUCCGGGGCUACACACGUGUUACAAUGGCAGGUACAGAGAGACGGUUGUACGUAAGUACGAUCAAAUCCUUAAAGCCUGUCUCAGUUCGGACUGGGGUCUGCAACCCGACCCCACGAAGCUGGAUUCGCUAGUAAUCGCGCAUCAGCCAUGGCGCGGUGAAUACGUUCCCGGGCCUUGUACACACCGCCCGUCAAGCCAUGAAAGCCGGGGGCGCCUAAAGUCCGUGACCGUAAGGGGCGGCCUAGGGCGAAACUGGUAAUUGGGGCUAAGUCGUAACAAGGUA
rnacentral:rRNA from 1 species